AACUGUUUGUGUGUCACAUCGUGGUGAGGACGGCGGAGUAAAAGGCGCCAGUGUUUAGUUUCUUAAGAAGAAAGAAAGGUCCCAAACUGCUGGAUGUGGUUUUAAAAGCUGGAACAAAGCUACACAGAGCAGGUUGGUUUUCUCUUUUAAUGUCGCAGGGAGUCGGUGCUAAAGCUAAGGUUAGCCGCUAGCAGCUAGCUCCUGCUAAGCUAACGUGUUGUUGUAUUUCCUGAAACAGGUCGGGGAGAAGAGGAGCAGAGCCGCGAGGAACUUUAACAUGAAGUCUGAGAGGAAGCUGUCAGCGGACCAGGGGACAGCUUUACCUCAAGAUGUUCUGGAAGUGAUUGUUGGAGAAGAGGAGCAGCAGGAGUGGAGCUCCAGUGUGGACCAACAGGAGCCAGAGCCCCCCCCACACAUUAAAGAGGAACAGGAGGAACUGUGGAGCAGUCAGGAGGGAGAGCAGCUUCAAGGGCUGGAGGAGGCUGAUAUCACCAAGUUCCCAUUCACUCCUGU
rnacentral:lncRNA from 1 species